rnacentral:rRNA from 1 species
AAGAAAGUAAUAAAGGGCGUAUGGGGGAUGCCUAGGCUCUUGGAGGCGAAGAAAGACGUGGUAAGCUGCGAUAAGCCUCGGGGAUUUGCAAACGAGAAUUGAUCCGAGGAUUUCUGAAUGGGACAACCCGGCAGGCAGAAGGCCUGUCACACGAAAGUGGGCCAACCCUCUGAACUGAAACAUCUUAGUAGGAGGAGGAAAAGAAAGAAACAUCGAUUUCCUAAGUAGCGGCGAGCGAACGGGAAACAGCCUAAACCACAAUUGUUACGGCAACUGUGGGGUUGUAGGACUGCAAUAUUCAAAUGACUGUGAACUGGAAUGUUCUGGAAAGUUCAUCCAAAGAGAGUGAAAGACUCGUACAGGCAAGCACGUCAAGCGAUAGCAGUAUCCUGAGUAGGGCGGGACACGAGGAAUCCUGUCUGAAUCCGCCGGGACCACCCGGUAAGGCUAAAUACUCCCAAGAGACCGAUAGUGAACCAGUACCGUGAGGGAAAGGUGAAAAGAACCCCGAACAGGGGAGUGAAAUAGAACCUGAAACCAUACGCUUACAACCUGUCGGAGCGGCUUCGUGCCGUGACGGCGUGCCUAUUGAAUAAUGAGCCUACGAGUUACUAAUCACUGGCAAGGUUAAGUGCACGGAUGCACGGAGCCGAAGCGAAAGCGAGUCUGAAUAGGGCGUUUAGUCAGUGGUUGUAGACGCGAAACCUUGCGAUCUACCCUUGAGCAGGUUGAAGGUUGGGUAAAACCAACUGGAGGACCGAACGAAUAAGCGUUGAAAAGCUUCUCGAUGACUUGAGGGUAGGGGUGAAAGGCUAAUCAAGCUGGGAAAUAGCUCGUACUCCCCGAAAUGCCUUUAGGGGCAGCGUUGUAAUUAAGAGUCUACUGGAGGUAGAGCUACUGAUUGGAUGCGGGGGCUUCACCGCCUACCAAAUCCUGACAAACUCCGAAUGCCAGUAGUAUGAUUUACAGCAGUGAGCGACCGGGUGCUAAUGUCCGGUUACGAGAGUGGAACAACACAGACCAGCAACUAAGGUCCCCAAGAGUAUACU